rnacentral:rRNA from 1 species
GAUGAACGCUAGCGGCGGGCUUAAUACAUGCAAGUCGAGGGGCGGCACGCUGUAGCAAUACCUUGGUGGCGACCGGCGGACGAGUGCGUAACACGUAUGCAACUUGCCCUAUACUAGGGAAUAGCACGAAGCAAUUCGGAUUAAUGCCCUAUAAAAUCCGGGCAGGCAUCCUUCUGGGUUCAAUGCUCCGGCGGUAAAGGAGGGGCAUGCGGUCGAUUAGCUUGUGGGUGAGGUAACGGCUCACCAAGGCGACGAUCGAUAGGGGGCCUGAGAGGGUGAUCCCCCACACUGGUACUGAGACACGGACCAGACUCCUACGGGAGGCAGCAGUAAGGAAUAUUGGUCAAUGGGCGCAAGCCUGAACCAGCCACGCCGCGUGAAGGAAGACGGCCCUAUGGGUUGUAAACUUCUUUUCUACGGGAAUAAACCUCAGGACGUGUCCUGAGCUGGAGGUAUCGUAGGAAUAAGGAUCGGCUAACUCCGUGCCAGCCGCCGCAGUAAUAC